UUCGAACGAGGAUAGCGUUGUUCGGAAUCACUGGGCGUAAAGCGCACGCAGGCGGAUCGAUUAGUCGGGGGUGAAAGCCCGGGGCUCAACCUCGGAAUUGCCUUCGAUACUGUCGGUCUCGAGUCCGGGAGAGGUGAGUGGAAUUCCUAGUGUAGAGGUGAAAUUCGUAGAUAUUAGGAAGAACACCAGUGGCGAAGGCGGCUCACUGGCCCGGUACUGACGCUCAGGUGCGAAAGAGUGGGGAGCAAACAGG
rnacentral:rRNA from 1 species